GACGAACGCUGGCGGCGUGCUUAACACAUGCAAGUCGAACGGAGUGGCGAACGGGUGAGUAACACGUGGGUGACCUGCCCUGCACUUCGGGAUACGCCUGGGAAACUGGGUCUAAUACCGGAUAGUGUGGGAUGGGCCCGCGGCCUAUCGGCUUGUUGGUGGGGUAAUGGCUUACCAAGGCGGCGACGGGUAGCCGGCCUGAGAAGGUGGACGGCCACAGUGGUACUGAGGCACGGCCCAGACGGGUAAGGUAGGCAGGAGUGGAGAGUGUUGCACAAUAGGGGGUAGCCUGAGGCAGAGAGGCUGGGUGGGGGAUGACGGCCUGCGGGUUGUAAACUCGUUUCAUCAUAGACGCGGUAGAUAGAGAAAAAGCAACGGCUAACUACGUGCCAGCAGCCGCGGUAAUUC
rnacentral:rRNA from 1 species